GACGAACGCUGGCGGCGUGCUUAACACAUGCAAGUCGAGCGGUAAGGCCUCGUCGGGGGUGCACGAGCGGCGAACGGGCGAGUAACACGUGGGUGACCUGCCCUCAGCUCUGGGAUAAGCAUGGGCAACUGGGUCUAAUACCUGAUAUGACCUUUCCCCGCCUGCGUUGUGGGGGUAAGUUAUUUCGGCUGGGGAGGGGCGGGCGGCCUAUUAGCUUGUUGGUUGGGUGGUUGCCUACCUAGGGGGCGGCGGGCAGCCUGCCGGGGAGAGCGACCGGCCAGAGUGGGAGUGAGACACGGGACAGACACGGGCGGGAGGCAGGAGGGGGGAAGAUUGCGGGAUGGGAGGAAGCCUGACGCAGCGACGCCGCGGGAGGGAGGACGGCCGUUGGGUUGUAGACCUCGUUCGUCACCGACGAAUUUGGACGGUAGGGGGAGAAGAAGCACCGGCCAACUACGUG
rnacentral:rRNA from 1 species